rnacentral:rRNA from 1 species
UACGUAGGUGGCGAGCGUUGUCCGGAUUUACUGGGCGUAAAGAGCGCGCAGGCGGCUGGUCAAGUCCGAUGUGAAAGCUCCCGGCUUAACUGGGAAAUUGCAUCGGAAACUGAUCGGCUGGAAGGUGGGAGAGGGUAGCGGAAUUCCCGGUGUAGUGGUGAAAUGCGUAGAUAUCGGAAGGAACACCAGUGGCGAAGGCGGCCCACUGGUCCGGUACUGACGCUGAGGUGCGAAAGCGUGGGGAGCAAACAGG